AUUGCCCUAGUAACGGCGAGUGAAGCGGCAACAGCUCAAAUUUGAAAUCUGGCGUCUUUGGCGUCCGAGUUGUAAUUUGCAGAGGGCGCUUUGGCAUUGGCAGCGGUCCAAGUUCCUUGGAACAGGACGUCACAGAGGGUGAGAAUCCCGUACGUGGUCGCUAGCCUUUACCGUGUAAAGCCCCUUCGACGAGUCGAGUUGUUUGGGAAUGCAGCUCUAAAUGGGAGGUAAAUUUCUUCUAAGCUAAAUACUGGCCAGAGACCGAUAGCGCACAAGUAGAGUGAUCGAAAGAUGAAAAGCACUUUGGAAAGAGAGUUAAAAAGCACGUGAAAUUGUUGAAAGGGAAGCGCUUGCAGCCAGACUUGCCUGUAGUUGCUCAUCCGGGUUUCUACCCGGUGCACUCUUCUAUAGGCAGGCCAGCAUCAGUUUGGGCGGUUGGAUAAAGGUCUCUGUCAUGUACCUCCUUUCGGGGAGAACUUAUAGGGGAGACGACAUGCAACCAGCCUGGACUGAGGUCCGCGCAUCUGCUAGGAUGCUGGCGUAAUGGCUGUAAGCGGCCCGUCUUGAAACACGGACCAAGGAGUCUAACAUCUAUGCGAGUGUUUGGGUGUCAAGCCCGAGCGCGUAAUGAAAGUGAACGGAGGUGGGAACCUUUCGGGGUGCACCAUCGACCGAUCCUGAUGUCUUCGGAUGGAUUUGAGUAAGAGCAUAGCUGUUGGGACCCGAAAGAUGGUGAACUAUGCUUGAAUAGGGUGAAGCCAGAGGAAACUCUGGUGGAGGCUCGCAGCGGUUCUGACGUGCAAAUCGAUCGUCAAAUUUGGGCAUAGGGGCGAAAGACUAAUCGAACUAUCUAGUAGCUGGUUCCUGCCGAAGUUUCCCUCAGGAAA
rnacentral:rRNA from 2 species